AAUUAUGGUGAGCUGGGCAAGGCAGCCUUGGCUGACCGUGUCUUGGAGAGCGGUAUUCCUACACCUUGUUCCAGUUCACCACCCGA
rfam:Vibrio sp. MEBiC08052 genomic scaffold scaffold00001, whole genome shotgun sequence.